AUUGAACGCUGGCGGCAGGCUUAACACAUGCAAGUCGAGCGAGCGGCGGACGGGUGAGUAAUGUCUGGGAAACUGCCUGAUGGAGGGGGAUAACUACUGGAAACGGUAGCUAAUACCGCAUACCACCAGAUGUGCCCACAUGGGAUUAGCUAGUAGGUGAGGUAAAGGCUCACCAAGCCGACGAUCUCUAGCUGGGCUGAGAGGAUGACCGGCCACACUGGGACUUAGACACGGCCCAGACUCAUACGGGAGGCAGCAGUGGGGAAUAUUGCGCAAUGGGGGCAACUCUGACGCAGCCAUGCCGCGUGAAUGAAGAAGGCCUUCGGGUGGUAAAGUUCUUUCGGUAGCGAGGCGUUAACUACAGAAGAAGCACCGGCUAACUACGUGCCAGCAGCCGCGGUAAUAC
rnacentral:rRNA from 1 species